GGAUGAACGCUGGCUGUGUGCCUAAUACAUGCAUGUCGAGCGGAGUUCUUCGGAACUUAGCGGCGAAUGGGUGAGUAACACGUACUUAACGUACCUUUUAGAUUGGGACAACGAUGAGAAAUUAUCGCUAAUACCGGAUACUUAUAAGGAAGGCAUCUUYCUUAUAUAAAAGGAGCUUUCAAGCUCCACUAAAAGAUCGGGGUGCGGAACAUUAGCUAGUUGGUGAGGUAAUGGCUCACCAAGGCUAUGAUGUUUAACGGGGUUGAGAGACUGAUCCGUCACACUGGGACUGAGAUACGGCCCAGACUCCUACGGGAGGCAGCAGUAGGGAAUUUUCCACAAUGGACGAAAGUCUGAUGGAGCGACACAGCGUGCAGGAUGAAGGCCUUCGGGUUGUAAACUGCUGUUAUUUAGGAUGAAAAAAUAGUAGAGGAAAUGCUAUUAUCUUGACAGUACUAAAUCASAAAGCAACGGCUAACUAUGUGCCAGCAGCCGCGGUAAUACAUAGGUUGCAAGCGUUAUCCGGAAUUAUUGGGCGUAAAGCGUCUGUAGGUUGUUUGUUAAGUCUGGCGUCAAAACUUGGGGCUCAACCCCAAAUCGCGUUGGAUACUGGCAAACUAGAAUUGUGUAGAGGUUAACGGAAUUCCUUGUGAAGCGGUGAAAUGCGUAGAUAUAAGGAAGAACAYCAACUUGGCGAAGGCAGUUAACUGGGCACAUAUUGACACUGAGAGACGAAAGCGUGGGGAGCAAACAGGAUUAGAUACCCUGGUAGUCCACGCCGUAAACGAUGAUGAUUAGCUGAUGGGAACCAUCGGCGCAGCUAACGCAUUAAAUCAUCCGCCUGAGUAGUAUGCUCGCAAGAGUGAAACUUAAAGGAAUUGACGGGGAUCCGCACAAGCGGUGGAGCAUGUGGUUUAAUUUGAAGAUACGCGUAGAACCUUACCCACUCUUGACAUCUUCUGCAAAGCUAUAGAGAUAUAGUGGAGGUUAACAGAAUGACAGAUGGUGCAUGGUUGUCGUCAGCUCGUGUCGUGAGAUGUUCGGUUAAGUCCUGCAACGAGCGCAACCCUUAUCCUUAAUUAAAUACCUUAAGGAGACUGCCCGGGUAACUGGGAGGAAGGUGGGGACGACGUCAAAUCAUCAUGCCUCUUACGAGUGGGGCAACACACGUGCUACAAUGGAAGGUACAAAGAGAAGCAAUAUGGCGACAUGGAGCAAAUCUCAAAAAACCUUUCUCAGUUCGGAUUGUAGUCUGCAACUCGACUACAUGAAGUCGGAAUCGCUAGUAAUCGUAGAUCAGCUACGCUACGGUGAAUACGUUCUCGGGUCUUGUACACACCGCCCGUCACACCAUGGGAGCUGGUAAUGCCCGAAGUCGGUUUAGUCAACUACGGAGACAACUGCCUAAGGCAGGACUGGUGACUGGGGUGAAGUCGUAACAAGGUAUCCCUACGAGAACGUGGGGAUGGAUUACCUCCUUUCU
rnacentral:rRNA from 1 species